rnacentral:lncRNA from 1 species
CGCCAUUCCAUGAUCAUUGGGUUAUCGUCUGCAUUCCUGACGUAGUGUUUACAGCUUCCUGCUUAUGGCAACAAGGAAGCAGAACGCAGAGUGAUGAGAGAUUUAUGUGGAUAUGAUAGCACUGGACACUUCGAGGCUCCAUUGGCAAAACAUGCGGCAAAUAGGAAACCAAGGGACCUUUGACAUUUAAGAAGUAUAUGCCCUAAGAUUUCUACAGAUCCUGAAAUUCAUCACUACGGCAGAAUCACGCAUCUUAUGAAAACCAAGAAUAAAAUGACACCUGACAACCUUGCCAGCUCAGCACAUCUGGAGGCACUAAAUGUCUGACCCAGGAAAUGUGCAUCAAACUGACGGGGUCUCAGAAAAUGUUACUGCAAAAUGAAGUCCUCAGAAGCAGCUCUCUCUCUGACCUUCUCCAAACCUCCUGUCUCUGGACCUUCAUUUCCACCCAUCUCCUCCUCCCCACCACCGCCAGGCUGGCCAUGCGUACUAGACUCCCUCUUCCUCAAGGUGAAUUGACUGCUGGGGAAAUGGGCUCAGGAGAUUAAAGGCCUGCUUAUUAAUGGAAAGAGCUUCCUCCCACACACAGAUAUAUAAAGCCGCCUCGCCAUUUCUUCCUUCCACCGUGACCCAUAGUCUUUCUGGGACAAGGGCUGAGAUUUCACAGCCGAGUUUUAAAGUUGCUGGGGAUGCUAACAACAGGGACUUUUAUGCUUGAAUUUCUGCUGCAAAUCAUACACCCUUGGACUCAGUCCACUAAGUCUAUAGAAUUAUCUGCAAAGCAAUGCAAUAGGAUAUACAAAUUUUUUGACUAUUUGUAUCGAAAAUAAAUCAGGACCUUGAACUAUAUAAAAAGCUAACACAUUAUCAUGAAAACUCUGCAUGAAUACUGAUAAAACAUACUGGAUGCCCUUUGACUCUUACAGUCCUUGUUCUCAUCUUUUUGCUUAUAUCCAUUUCUCUUUUCAAUUAAUUUGGAAUAAUUUUGCUUGAAUAAUAAUCUGAUAGUAACUUCAUUAUUUCUAAUUAUAUUAUCUUAAUGUGCAAAUUCAAUCAUUUUUGGCUUACAUUAACAAAGAUAAAAAUGUGUGACAGAGGUUAGUAAUAGAAGGUUAGUUUUACAUGAAAUGAGGACCAGAUAAAAGACCAGUACAAUGUUAUAUAUUUAUGUCCUUCACAUGAUAGGCAGACAUCAAUCCUUGAUGUCAUGUUCAAAUAAAGGACUUAUAUAUAUGCAUAGUGACAAAGCACUAUGCAUAUGUAUAUGCAUGGGAACAAUGGAGAGAAGUUCAGUGAGAGAAUUCCCAAUUGUAUUAAUUACUACAAACAUUUAUUGAAUAAAAUGUGCAGCACUUAUAGAACAUUUUUCCUAUGGGAUAAGUUGCCAAUCCAUACUUCAUUGUUGUUGCUGUAUCAGCUCAGACUCUUUGAAGUUAGUCUUAUUUAUUCACUUUUUUAGCGGAUCUACAGGGGUUAUGUAAGUUGGCUAAACUCACUCAACUAGUAAGACAUAUACAAAGGAUGUAAACUACGUUUAUGAGGUAAGAAAGACUAUGAUUUUGCUUUUAUUACUGCGACUAGGACCCUCUGGGGAUACAAAAGCUAUGAUAAAAAAAAUUCAUUAGCCUGUGUGUCUAAUAUGGCCCUCAAAGUAGUAUUAUCAUUUGCAAUUAACUAUAACACUGAAUCGUAUUCUUCAAAUGCAAACCAUGGGCCUUGCAGAGCCUUUAUAGAUGCUCUGUGGCACAGCACUUAUUUAGUCUGUCUCUUUAAUUAACCUGAUCCAAAUGUGACAUUAAUAAAUUGUUCUUUGUGAACCGAAAAGUCGUAAUUACUCAGAAAGGACAUGCUUAAUUGUCCUUUAUCUUUAGCCUACCACUAUACACAUCCAACAAAUCAGGUCAAAAUUCUCAAUUCAAUUUCCAAAUAAUUCAUAAUAUUUUUAUUUACUAUAGCAUAACCUGGUCAGGCAUGGUGGCUCAGGCCUG